rnacentral:rRNA from 1 species
ACGUAGGGGGCGAGCGUUAUUCGGAAUUACUGGGUGUAAAGGGUAUGUAGGCGGCCCUUCAAGUCGCGUGUCAAAGUCCAGUGCUCAACGCUGGCUGUGCGCGCGAGACUGACGGGCUUGAGGGCUGGAGAGGUGAGCGGAAUUCCCGGUGUAGUGGUAGAAGGCGUAGAGUUCGGGAGGAACACCAGCGACGCAGGCGGCUCACUAGACAGUUUCUGACGCUAAGAUACGAAAGCGUGGGGAGAAAACAG